rfam:Ciona savignyi cont_42088, whole genome shotgun sequence.
CCUUUUAUAGCUCAGUUUGUUAGAGCGGUGGACUGUAGAAGUUGUGAUGGUUAUCCAUAGGUCGCUGGUUCGAAUCCGGCUCGAAGGA